GUUAACAUGCUCCUUUGAUGCCAGACUGUGAUUAUUGCGUAUUCAUCAGGAAAUUUGCAAGGUGUGAAGGGCGAAAACAAAGCCUGUGAAGCUAGAUUAUGGAAUCAAAAAACUGAAUGCCGUUGCCGAUUGAAUAGUGAAUGUAUGUGUUCUUAUUUCAGGCCCUAACGGAAGACGGCUGCUUGUAGUUAUAACAUUUAAUCGUUAUACAACAAUUAUUGCUUACUGAUGAAAGGCAAAAGAAAUUCGAUAUGAAAGAAUUAUUAAAAAUUACCGGUUAACCGGUUAAGGGAUUUUAGGGCGAUCAAUUAAGAAAUUUCGUCAACUUAUUU